UACGGAGGGAGCUAGCGUUGUUCGGAAUUACUGGGCGUAAAGCGCACGUAGGCGGCGAUUUAAGUCAGGGGUGAAAGCCCAGUGCUCAACACUGGAACUGCCCUUGAGACUGGAUUGCUAGAAUCUUGGAGAGGCGAGUGGAAUUCCGAGUGUAGAGGUGAAAUUCGUAGAUAUUGGGAAGAACACCGGUGGCGAAGGCGGCGACCUGGUCCAUUACUGACGCUGAGGCGCGAAAGCGUGGGGAGCAAACAGG
rnacentral:rRNA from 1 species